rnacentral:sRNA from 1 species
UUUAGGAAAAGAAAAU